rnacentral:rRNA from 1 species
AACGAACGCUGGCGGCAUGCCUAACACAUGCAAGUCGAACGAAACCUUCGGGUCUAGUGGCGCACGGGUGCUUAACGCGUGGGAACCUGCCCUUAGGUUCGGAAUAACUCCCCGAAAGGGGUGCUAAUACCGGAUAAUGUCUUCGGACCAAAGAUUUCUCGCCUUUGGAUGGGCCCGCGUUGGAUUAGCUAGUUGGUAGGGUAAAAGCCUACCAAGGCGACGAUCCAUAGCUGGUCUGAGAGGAUGAUCAGCCACACUGGGACUGAGACACGGCCCAGACUCCUAGGGGAGGCAGCAGUGGGGAAUAUUGGACAAUGGGCGAAAGCCUGAUCAAGCAAUGCCGCGGGAGUGAUGAAGGCCUUAGGGUUGUAAAGCUCUUUUACCCGGGAUGAUAAUGACAGUAACGGGAGAAUAAGCUCCGGCUAACUACGUG